rnacentral:lncRNA from 1 species
UUGGAACAACCAUGCAUCCCCCGUCCGUCCCCUCAACCAAAUGGGAGGAGUGUAAUAUCUCUGCUCUGCAAUGUUCCGGUUUCCGCUAAGGAGACACCCCAGUUCGCUAAGGGAGCAGCUAGUGUGCUGUGGUAAGGGGGAGGUUUGGGGAGGCUAAAGGCUGGAUUAAGCAUAGUUAGCAGCCGAGAUGGUGAAUAUAACUAGUAUAGCGACGUUGCUCAAGUGACUGCGUGUGGUCAGGGCGAUAUUAAAACGAUUUUCUCAAGAAAGAUAACAACCUUUUUCAGCAUGGACUCCAUGCACAUAACACACGUCUGAAGUGCACUUGAAUUGUGUGUAUACUCCAAACAAAACUGACCAUGAUGUACCGCUUGUUUUCCGCCUUGGGUGUUCUAUUCGGUGAGUAGCACACUGGCUAUAACCGUGUAAUUGGCCUGUAGGACGGUCAUUGUAUUGCUGGCUACACUACUGUGUUACAGGUUCUUACAGUAACCUAUAAAUCUGCUUUACUCUGCAGGAAUGGCCUCAGCGGGUAAGGAACCAGUGGCUGUCCCUAGUCUCCUGAUUUUGUCACAAAAGACACCACAAAUUGGAUAACCAAUCAAGAACUAUUUAUAACUAUAAUGGAACAAAAAGAUGGAGAAAACGGGAUAGUUGGUGAAUUAAUUAGUGAUUACAGAAUCAAGAGCUGUUAUAGAGAUGUACCAUGAUACUUUACUUGGCAUAAUAAAUAGUCUUACCACAAUAUGUAUUUUUGUUGCUUUUAUGGUAUGUAAUCUAAGGUCAUGCAUGACAGUUACACCUGUCUCCCUUUCUCCUCUCUCUCUCUCUUAUAGACGGCUCUUAUGGCUUAGGGCCGAAGCCAAAGAGGAUAUGUCCUGGGAUGCCAUUCAGUUUUACACUGACAUAUAAGAUAAGCGGAGCAGACUUGAUGUUCUACAAGAACGGGGUUGAGAGGAAGGUUGCCACUACCAAGGAGAUUAUAGACCCCCAGUUUCGGCUCAAUGGCACUGUACCUUAUUUACCCGAGGUCAUGAAAACGCAUGAAGGGAAGUAUUAUUGGAAGGCUCCAUCGGUCGAUUUUGAACUGAAUUACAUCAGACUAAUUCUGAAAGACUGCAGUGUUCGUCAAAAUGUGGUGUACGGUGAGGAGUUGGCCUUAAAUGUGCCGGCGGACGCGUCUGUGUUGGAGUUCACCCCUCACCUCUCAGACCAACACUCCGUCCUGUGGAGACGGAUACACAGAGGGGGGGACGAGGAAGCAAGGGGCGCGGUUAAGGACGGCCGCUGGACAGCACAGAGGAUGACCCAAGCGGAUCAGGGGCGCUACACUUUACUCAGGGAGAGUGGUGGCCAGAUCUCCAGCACUGUGGUCUCUGUUGAAGAACUCCAAAUACAUGCUCACGUGGCUGAUGACGACGUCAGAGAUCACUGGAGAACUGAUGUUAAUAUCUCUGCACGGGAGGCUGUAGUCACUUACUUUACGGCUUUCGGGGGUGAGCAUGUGCUCUUCCGAGACGGCAUGGAGACUGAUGAGGGCUUCGACAUUUUUGGAAAUCGUAUCACACUCCAAAAGUCAACGCUCCAAAAGUCAACUUUCAGCAUCAGCAAAGCGCAGCCAAGUGACGCAGGACGAUACGAGAUCCAUGACAAGAAUGGACAUCUGGCCAUCUCACUGUAUCUGGAGAGAGACCCUGGUCAGUCGUAUGCCAUGACCUGUUUUUAUUGUUGUAUAAUGUAGUUAUUAAUUCUACUUCAAUCUCUUUCUGCGUGUCAACAUUUUUCUCUCUCCUUCAAUCUCUCAGAAGAUGAAGAGUUUUAUCCUACGAGUUUAGCCACUCCUCUUGGCAUAUCUGCGGGCGUGCUGGUUGGACUGCUGUGCUGUUGCUGGUGCUGUUGCAAGUGCUGUGGCAAGUGCUGUGGCCAUGACGAUGGUGACAAGACUGAGUCCGCCGCUGCUUCUCCAGACGCCGAGCAACCCGCUCACAUCCAUGUAAGCGCUUCUAUAUAGGGGAAAGUCUUGCAGGGGUCGUGACCUCGGCCCUUUGUGACAAGAGCAAACACGUGGAGUUGAUUCAUGGAGGGUUAAAAGAAGGAAUAAAAACAAGGCACCCCUGAUGUUAAACUUAAAG